rnacentral:lncRNA from 1 species
AGUGGCUCUGGGCCGCAGGCUAGCACGAAGCCUAGGCCCGCAGGAUGAUGAGGAGAAUGAGCUGGAGUUGGAGUUGGAGCUGGAGCUGGACGACGAGCCUGAUGUGGAGCUUUCUGGGGUUGUGUUCAGUCCCCUCAAGAGCCGAGCCCGGGGCCUGGCCCACCGGGACCAUUUCCAGGUGUCCAGAGCCCAGGACUUCCAGGUGGGAGUUACCGUGCUCGAGGCCCAGAAACUGGUGGGAGUCAACAUUAACCCUUACGUAGCCGUACGUGUCAGGGAGCAGCGCCGAGUUACUGCCACACAACGUGGGACCAAUUGCCCCUUCUACAAUGAGUACUUCUUGUUCGAAUUUCAUGAGACCCGGCUUCGCCUUCAAGACUCACUACUGGAGAUCACGG